CAGAAUCACCAUGUGAUCCUGGGAUGAGGAUGCCAAUGGAAGAUAUGUAUUUAUUAUGUAUAUAGUGUUCUGCCUGCAUAUAUCCUUGCACACCAGAAGAGAGCACAAGCUCUCAUUACAGAUGGUUGUGAGCCACCAUGUGAUUGCUGGGAAUUGAACUCAGUACCUCUGGAAGAGCAGCCAAUGCUCUUAACCUCUGAGCCAUCUCUCCAACCCCCACAUUUUCUUCAAUGCAUGAAUCAGCUCUGCACUUGGAAUACUCUGUGGAGUAGAGCCAAAAUGCUCUAAACAAAGUCCCAGGUGAGCUUCUGUAGCUGCCAUCACCAGUGGUCACUGGUUUGAGGGAGGUUUCCUAAUGUCUCAAGGAAGGGGAACCUCCAGGUGGCUACAACUACGGGUGACACACAAUGCAGGGGACACAAAUCACCCAGGGGACAGAUGAACCCAGAGAAGAAAAAGACCCUGGAGAGAAGCCCAUUGUUAGGAUCAAUACUUCAUUGUUUCAGUGCCUUUGGUUGCUCACUAGUGCAACCAAAAUAUGCAGGGCACAUACUUUUCCCUCAAAGCACAGUGACUGCUGGAUUCAGCUUCCUUCUGGGCAGCUGUUCUCCCAGUGACUGACCUUACCAGGUGCCUUAGAAAAGCAUCUACUCUGAAGUAUCUGCUCGAGAUCUGAAGUGCAGCAGUGUCCAAUACACCCUGGCACUUCUAUCAAUGAUGGAUACCUGCAUCCAGUGACAUCAUAGAGCUGAACAUGUGGUAGAAUGGCUUGCAUGGGGUUCAGAAAAUAGUGCGGAAGUGGAAAACCUACUUUGAUCUCAUCAUUGAAGAGGUGCAGCAGGUGGAGUUUUCUUUUGUCAUCAGCUACAUGGUUUGUAGUAGGUCUUGAAGCCCAUCUUAUGGAGGACUUCUUUGUCACAAAGUAAUUAAGGAAGAAAAUUGAUGCUUAAAAUUCAUUUGCUAUAUUUAGUUUAUUUUCUGAUUUCAUGAAUAACAACAACAGUAAUAAUAAUUCUUGUUUGAGUAUGAUAUAUAACAUAUAUAUGUGUAUGUUUUUAUCUGAUGCUCCUGGCUUAUAAUUACCUCCCCAAAGCAUGCUACAAACUGUAGAAUUUCUCUUAUACAAGGUGAGUCAUAUGAUCUCUAAUACUUUUGGUAUGGUCUGCCAGAAAGAAAUUCUCUGACCUACCUUAUCAUAAGAUUCCCAUUUCAGUAAGAGUUAUGCCCCACAUUACAGAGGAAAGAACAUUUGCAUAGAAUGGUCAGGAAAAAUCUGGACAGGCCUUGUUGUGUUUUGCAAACCAGUCUGUUAGCAUAGAUCAUAUUAUUUGUUCAGUCACAUUGCUACAUGAUUAUCUAUCUUUCAAUUAUGCCUAUGAAAGUCUUUGCAAAAAUAUGAAAGGAGCCAGGCGUUGGUGGUGCUCGCCUUUAACCCCAGCACUCAGGAGCCAGAGACAGGCGGAUUUCUGUGAGUUCGAGACCAGCCUGGUCUACAAGAGUGAGUGCCAGGACAGCCUCCAAAGCCACAGAGAAACCCUGUCUCCAAAAACCAAAAAAAAAAAAAAAAAGAGAAAGGAAUUAUUUAGAAAUACACUGUAUUGCUCAAUACAUGUAAUUCCUGUAGGUGGCACCUAGAGAAGGCACAGAUAUACUGGAUCCCUUCCUCCAUAGCUUGCUAUAUAUCUCUUUGCUGUGUCCUUCAUAUUAUCAUUUAAUAUAAACUGAUUAAAAAUGUUUCCUUGAGUUUUGGAAGCUGCCCAAGCAAGUUAGUCAAACCUGAAGAGUUGAUUGUGAUAGAAGUACAAAACAAAAUAGUCUAGUGCUUGUGAGUAGCAUUUAAAAUGGGGCACAAGCAUCUCCGAGACUGAGAGUUCAUUCUGUAGUAGUGUGAAAAUUAAAUUGAACUACAGGGCACUCAGCCAAUGUCCUUUAUUGCAAGUUUAUAAUUAAUAUUGAAAUUCAAGAAUGUUUUCAUAGUGCAGGUCCCUUUUUAUUUCCAUAUGCUCUUUGGAAUAGACCUUCCAAUUUCUUCUUUAAAAGUAUAUUCUGAGACCAGGCAUCGUGGCACAUGCCUUUAACCCCAGUACUCAGGAGGUAGAGGCAGAUGGAUCUCUGAGUUUGAGGCCAGUCUGGUCUGUAUAGUGAGUUCCAGGACAGCCAGGGAUACAUAUUGAGACUGUGUUUCACAAAACAAACAAAAAGUAUAAUGUGGAACUUUUUAAAAAUCAGAGUUGCACUGACUCUGUAGAUCAAUUUAAGGAUAAUAGACAAUGCUAUUUAAUGCUCUGAGUUGUGGUGACAGUAUUCGUUUUCAAGUUCUUUCAGAAGUAUUUUAGUGUUCAUUGUACAAGCUCUGCACAUAUGUGGACAGCUUCUUCCCGUAUAUUUCUUGUUCUGAUGCUGCGAUGAACGGCAGGACUUUUGUGCAUAUACAAAAAGUAUUUUAUAUCCUUC
ensembl:lncRNA